UUACUUCACAUGAAACAGUUGCAAAGCCAGCUGGCAGUGUUUUCCCACCUUGUUGCUCUGUCUCAGCAAUGGAUUUUACAGGAGAUGAACAUGUCCAAGGAAGGAAGCCAGAGCUGCUUUUAUUAUGUCAUCAAUUAUACAUGGACGAACGUCUGUGUGCGGGGGCCCAUCCAGCUCUCUGGAAGAGGAGAAACAGGGUUCUCAGGCCGCGGCAUGGGGGCUGGGGCACGUGCCCAUUGCUUGGCUGGACCUGUGAAUGUUACAGAUUUCCUGUCCCGUCUUCAAAACUGCCAGCCAAGCCAGCUGCCUGGAGCUGAAUUUGCCCUGAGAAAAAGGGAUCCAGCCUCUCCCCUGCCGUCAGCACACUGGUCAACGCUGGUGCUUCAUCAGGAGCUUCUGCUGCCAAUGACCUUGAGCAGAUGAGAACACAGGAGAUGCUGGUAACACCUGCAGAGGGGUGGUGGGCGUGGCCAAAGCAACGUGCCUUGAUUGGUGAAAUAUGCUCCCCAGAGAAAUUCCUUGAAUAGGGGCUCGUUUGAGCCUGGGUAUAAAAUAACCAUUGGGAUAGAUCUAGAGAAUAAAAUACUUCUUUCUUGUCCUCUU